CCUACGGGGGGCAGCAGUGAGGAAUAUUGGUCAAUGGGCGCGAGCCUGACCCAGCCAAGUAGCGUGAAGGAUGACUGCCCUACGGGUUGUAACCUUCUUUUAUGAGGGAAUACAGUGAGCCCCGUGUGCCUUUUUGUAUGUACUUUAUGAAUAAUGAUCGGCUAACUCCGUGCCAGCAGCCGCGGUAAUACGGAGGAUCCGAGCGUUAUCCGGAUUUAUUGGGUUUAAAGGGAGCGUAGAUGGGUUGUUAAGUCAGUUGUGAAAGUUUGCGGCUCAACCGUAAAAUUGCAAUUGAUACUGGCAGUCUUGAGUACAGUUGAGGCAGGCGGAAUUCGUGGUGUAGCGGUGAAAUGCUUAGAUAUAACGAAGAACUCCGAUUGCGAAGGCAGCUUACUAAACUGCCACUGACAGUGAGGCUCGAAAGUGUGGGUAUCAAACAGGAUUAGAUACCCCAGUAGUC
rnacentral:rRNA from 1 species